rnacentral:rRNA from 1 species
CCUACGGGAGGCAGCAGUGGGGAAUAUUGGGCAAUGGGCGCAAGCCUGACCCAGCAACGUAGCGUGAAGGAAGAAGGCUCUCGGGUUGUAAAACUCUUUUUUCAGGGACGAAGAAAGUGACGGUACCUGAGGUAUAAGCCUCGGCUAAGUACGUGCAAGCAGCAGCGGCAAUACGUAGGUGGCAAGCGUUAUCAGGAUUUAUGGGGUUUAAAGGGUGCGUAGGUGGAUCGGUAAGUCAGUGGUAAAAUUGAGGGGCUCAACCCCUUCGCGCGAUUGAAACUGGCGCUCUUGAGUGGACGGGAAGUAUGCGGAAUGCGUGGUGUAGCGGUGAAAUGCAUAGAUAUCACGCAGAACCCCGAUUGCGAAGGCAGCAUGCCGGCUUCCGACUGACGCUGAAGCACGAAAGCGUGGGUAUCGAACAGGAUUAGAUACCCUUGUAGUC